AUGGCCUCUUGGCCUUUUGGCAAAGAUCAAGUGUAGUAUGGGUUCUUAUCAGUUUGAAGAUAACUACAGUAAUGUAUUAUGAAAAACUAACAAAGCGGUGCUUAGUGAAGUAGUGACCUAACUCUUU
rnacentral:snRNA from 1 species